UCAGAUUGAACGSUGGSSGCASGCMUMACACRYRCAWGUSGGASGGUAGCACAGARAGCUUGYUCUYGGGUGACGAGUGGCGGACGGGUGAGUAAUGUCUGGGGAUCUGCCCGAUAGAGGGGGAUAACCACUGGAAACGGUGGCUAAUACCGCAUAACGUCGCAAGACCAAAGAGGGGGACCUUCGGGCCUCUCACUAUCGGAUGAACCCAGAUGGGAUUAGCUAGUAGGCGGGGUAAUGGCCCACCUAGGCGACGAUCCCUAGCUGGUCUGAGAGGAUGACCAGCCACACUGGAACUGAGACACGGUCCAGACUCCUACGGGAGGCAGCAGUGGGGAAUAUUGCACAAUGGGCGCAAGCCUGAUGCAGCCAUGCCGCGUGUAUGAAGAAGGCCUUCGGGUUGUAAAGUACUUUCAGCGGGG
rnacentral:rRNA from 1 species